CAAUAGCGUAUAUUUAAGUUGUUGCAGUUAAAAAGCUCGUAGUUGGAUUUCGGAUGGGACUUGCCGGUCCGUCGUUUCGAUGUGCACUGGCCAGUCCUAUCUUGUUGUCGGGGACUAGCUCCUGGGCUUCACUGUCCGGGACUAGGAGCUGACGAGGUUACUUUGAGUAAAUUAGAGUGUUCAAAGCAAGCCUACGCUCUGAAUACAUUAGCAUGGAAUAACACGAUAGGACUCUGGCUUAUCUUGUUGGUCUGUGAGACCAGAGUAAUGAUUAAGAGGGACAGUCGGGGGCAUUCGUAUUUCAUUGUCAGAGGUGAAAUUCUUGGAUUUAUGAAAGACGAACUUCUGCGAAAGCAUUUGUCAAGGAUGUUCUCAUUAA
rnacentral:rRNA from 1 species